AAGGCUCCGUCAGGAAGCUCCGUGGAUCAGAAGAGGGGAAGGAAGAGGCAGGGGUCGGAGGGAGCAGACCCCGUCCUGGAGUGUGGGGAACUGGGGGGGGGCGAGAAGCAGCAGCUGUAUGUGGAGUUUUUGGACAAAAUGCUUUCUCUGAAGAAAUACUUCACCGAAGGCCUCAUCCAGUUCACCAUUCUGCUCAGCUUGAUCGGCGUACGCGUGGACGUGGACACCUACCUGAACUCGCAGCUUCCCCCCCUGCGGGAGAUCAUCCUUGGCCAGAGCUCCGCUUACACCCAGACCCAGUUUCAUAACCUGCGUAACACCUUGGAUGGUUAUGGCAUCCACCCAAAAAGCGUAGACCUGGACUAUUACUUCACCGCUCGCAGGCUGCUCAACCAGGUGAGGGCCCUGGACAGGUUUCAGGUGCCCACCACCGAAGUCAACGCCUGGUUGGUGCACAGAGACCCCGAAGGCUCCGUGUCCGGUAGCCAGCCCAGCGCCGGCAUCGCCCUAGAGAACGGCAGCGGUCUGCAGGAUGGGAGCAGUCCCGACAACGGGGUGAGGGAGAGCGGAGCUGAGCAGGGCUUUGGGGAAGAACUGGAAGAUUUGGGAGCGGUGGCUGCCCCGGUGAAUGGAGACCUGACCAAAGAG